UCGUGUCAGGACGAACGCUGGCGGCGUGCCUAAUACAUGCAAGUCGAACGGUCUUUUCUAUGGAAGCUUGCUUCCACUGAGAAGAUAGUGGCGAACGGGUGAGUAACACGUGGGUAACCUGCCCAUAAGAGGGGGAUAACAUCCGGAAACGGGUGCUAAUACCGCAUAGUUUUCUUGAUCGCAUGAUUGAGAAAGGAAAGACGGCCUUUGUGCUGUCGCUUAUGGAUGGACCCGCGGCGUAUUAGUUAGUUGGUGAGGUAACGGCUCACCAAGACGAUGAUACGUAGCCGACCUGAGAGGGUGAUCGGCCACAUUGGGACUGAGACACGGCCCAAACUCCUACGGGAGGCAGCAGUAGGGAAUCUUCCGCAGUGGACGAAAGUCUGACGGAGCAACGCCGCGUGAGUGAAGAAAGGUUUUCGGAUCGUAAAACUCUGUUGUCAGAGAAGGACAAGUUGGAGAGUAACUGCUCCAGCCUUGACGGUAUCUGACCAGAAAGCCACGGCUAACUACGUGCCAGCAGCCGC
rnacentral:rRNA from 1 species